UGUAACCUCAGAGGGACACGGGGCAGCAGGGCCUCCCUCGUCUUGUUUUCUGUGGAUUGCUCUGGUGCCUCAGCGAUAUUUUUCUCCCAUUCCAGUGCCCGUGGUAAACAGUGGGAAUGUCCUGGGCUGGGGGCGGAGCCCUCCAGCGUCCAGCAUAGCAACAGUGGCUUCAAACACUGCAGCCACCGCCAGCAGCAGGUGUGUGCACACUUCAGCCUGUCCCGGGGUACCAGCCCCGCGGGGGGACCCCCUCUGCCUGUCAGGGUGGCCUUCCCGAGUGACUCCACCCGCUCUGCUUCCCAGGGUGUCAGACAUGGGGCCCUUCCUCUGCCCCCGCUGCCGCUUGGCGUUCAGAUCCCGACCGCUGCUGCGGGUGCACAUGGAGAAGCUGUGCCUCGGGCCCACGGCACCCAGCAGCAGCUCCGGCCUCCGUGGGGGGAACCUUCUGCCUGCGGAGGGAGCGCAGGGCACGGCAAGGAAACCACAGGACUUGUCGGUCGGGAUGUCCCAAAAUACGGACAACGCUGAGCCACGCCAUCACUUUGUGCCUCGUGGGGUCCCACCAGCUGUGCAGGGACAGCAGGGACCAGGGCGGGCACGGGGAGCUCCCCUGGGGGAUGUGCUGACCCCCCGCGAGAGGGCCCUGCUCCGCACGGCCAACCCCACCGCUAGGAGGCUGCCAGGGGAGGUACGGUGAAUCCUGAAUGCCAGGGCGGACAGCAGCAGCCCCAGGGCAGGGGGCCAGCCCCUCCUUCCCGCUGAACCCCGUGUGCCGCAGGGAGAGCUCCCCCCGCAGCCGCCCCCACGGCAGGAACAGCGGCAGCCGCCGCAGGAGCUGCUGGAAGCCCACGAACGCCAGGUGGCCGAGAUCCGGGCCAGAACCCGGCAGCUGGAGCGGCAGAGAGAGGGUAGGGCCCGGCCAUGGUUUUGGGGUGCUGGGGAGGCUCGUGUGGGAUGCAGUAACCCCAACAGUGGGGCUGUGGGGGCCGUGCUGAGCCCCCCGGCCUCUCACGGACCCUCAGGGCUGUGCCGGCAGCUGGCGACACUGGGGGCCAGGGCUGAGCAGGGGGAGCCCGAGCAGGGGGAGCCCGAGCCAAGCCAAGGCCUGAGGGACCAGGCCGGACAUGUCCGAACAGCACAGCACCGGUGAGCCCUGGCCGAGGGGUCACAGCACAGCUCUGGCCCUGCGGGGUGCUCUCCAUCAAGGCUCCCUCACCCCCAGCUGUCUAUGUCCUCCCCAGGGCCGCCCUAGACCUCGACACCCUCCUGCCGCCCGCAGGGCCGCUCGCGGCCGAGGCCAGGUGAGGUCUGUGGGCAAUGGCGGCUCCGAGCGGAGCGCCCAGCCGAGCCCAGGCAAUGGCUGAGCCGGGGCUCCCGCAGGGCACUGCAAGUGUCCUACCUGCGCUCCGGGGGACACGAGCCGGCCAUCCUGGACCAGCUCCUCCACCUCCAGCUGGAGGCCACGGUGCUGGAGAAAGGAACGGCGGGGCUGCACAGGGGCAGGCAGACGGGUAAGCGCCAUCACCAGGCCCAGGCCUGCCCCCCUCAGGGACCGCGGCCCCAGGCAGCAGCUGAGGCACCCCGGGCUGUGCCAGCAGAGCCCCCCAGCACUGGCACUCACAGUCUGGAUGCAGCACUACUGGCCGUGGAGCUGGAGAACCAGCGUCUGGAAGAUGAACUGUUGGCACUGAAGGUCA
rnacentral:lncRNA from 1 species